GGGUGCGACCAUACCAGCACUAACGCACCGGAUCCCAUCAGAACUCCGAAGUUAAGCGUGAUUGGGCGAGAGUAGUACUAGGAUCGGUGACCCCCUGGGAAGUCCUCGUGUAGCACCCC
rnacentral:rRNA from 1 species